GAUUGUAGUCUGCAACCCGACUACAUGAAGCUGGAAUCGCUAGUAAUCGCGGAUCAGAAUGCCGCGGUGAAUACGUUCCCGGGUCUUGUACACACCGCCCGUCACACCAUGGGAGUCGGAAAUGCCCGAAGUCUGUCGACCCAACCUUAGGGAGGGAGCAGCCGAAGGCAGGUCGGAUGACUGGGGUGAAGUCGUAACAAGGUAAC
rnacentral:rRNA from 1 species